CAGUAGCCGCGGGAAUACGAAGGGGGCUAGCGUUGCUCGGAAUGACUGGGCGUAAAGGGCGCGUAGGCGGUUUUGACAGUCAGAUGUGAAAUUCCUGGGCUUAACCUGGGGGCUGCAUUUGAGACGUCAAGACUAGAGUGUGAGAGAGGGUUGUGGAAUUCCCAGUGUAGAGGUGAAAUUCGUAGAUAUCGGGAAGAACACCGGUGGCGAAGGCGGCAACCUGGCUCAUUACUGACGCUGAGGCGCGAAAGCGUGGGGAGCAAACAGGAUUAGAUACCCGCGUAGUCCCUGUCUCUUAUAC
rnacentral:rRNA from 1 species